rnacentral:snRNA from 13 species
AUACUUACCUGGCAGGGGAGAUACCAUGAUCACGAAGGUGGUUUUCCCAGGACGAGGCUUAUCCAUUGCACUCCGGAUGUGCUGACCCCUGCGAUUUCCCCAAAUGUGGGAAACUCGACUGCAUAAUUUGUGGUAGUGGGGGACUGCGUUCGCGCUUUCCCCUG